UCCAGUAUAAUGUAACGGCUAACAUAACUCAUUUUCAAUGAGGAGAUCGGGGUUCGAUUCCCCUUACUGGAG
rnacentral:tRNA from 1 species